rnacentral:rRNA from 1 species
UACGUAGGGGGCUAGCGUUGUCCGGAAUCAUUGGGCGUAAAGCGCGUGUAGGCGGUCCGGUAAGUCCGCUGUGAAAGUCGGGGGCUCAACCCUCGAAUGCCGGUGGAUACUGUCGGGCUAGAGUGCGGAAGAGGCGAGUGGAAUUCCUGGUGUAGCGGUGAAAUGCGCAGAUAUCAGGAGGAACACCAAUUGCGAAGGCAGCUCGCUGGGACGUAACUGACGCUGAGACGACGAAGCGUGGGGAGCAAACAGG